GGGCAGCUAGCUCAGUGGUUAGAGCAAUCGGUUUACAUCCGAUAGGUCGUGGGUUCGAAUCCCACGUUGCCCACCA
rnacentral:tRNA from 1 species